UAUCCCUGCAGUGGUGUGGAGGCUGUGCUUUGGCAAAGACCUGAGCCCUAGGACCAUGCCUCAGGACUACCUGGCUUGAUGACUCCUUGCUGUCCCCAGUUCACCUGGCCGUGCUGCUGCUCCAGUUCCAACUGUUCUGCCUGCAGCUAUGGAACCCUGACCUGUUCACCGGACGUGCUACCUGUCCCAGACCUGUUGUCCCAGACCUGCUGGAACCCUGACCUAUUCACCGGACGUCCUACCUGUCCCAGAGUUGCUGUCCCAGACCUGCUGGAACCCUGACCUGUUCACCGGACGUGCUACCUGUCCCAGACCUGCUGUUUUCAACUCUCUAGAGACAGCAGGAGUGGUAGAGAUACUCUCAAAGAUCGGCUAUGAAAAAGCCAACUGACACUUACUCUUGUGUUACUGACUUGUUGCACCCUCGAC
rnacentral:lncRNA from 1 species